AAGUUGACGGGGGCCCGCACAGGCAGCGGAGCAUGUGGUUUAAUUCGAAGCAACGCGAAGAACCUUACCUAGACUUGACAUCUCCUGAAUUACCCGUAACUGGGGAAGCUCUUCGGAGCAGGAAGACAGGUGGUGCAUGGUUGUCGUCAGCUCGUGUCGUGAGAUGUUGGGUUAAGUCCCGCAACGAGCGCAACCCUUAUCGUUAGUUGCUACCAUUAAGUUGAGCACUCUAGCGAGACUGCCCGGGUUAACCGGGAGGAAGGUGGGGAUGACGUCAAAUCAUCAUGCCCCUUAUGUCUAGGGCUACACACGUGCUACAAUGGCCGGUACAAAGAGUUGCGAAACUGUGAAGUUAAGCUAAUCUCAUAAAGCCGGUCUCAGUUCGGAUUGUAGUCUGCAACUCGACUACAUGAAGUCGGAAUCGCUAGUAAUCGCGAAUCAGAAUGUCGCGGUGAAUACGUUCUCGAGUCUU
rnacentral:rRNA from 1 species